AUUGAACGCUGGCGGCAUGCCUUACACAUGCAAGUCGAACGGCAGCACGGGUGCUUGCACCUGGUGGCGAGUGGCGAACGGGUGAGUAAUACAUCGGAACGUACCUUAUCGUGGGGGAUAACGCAGCGAAAGCUGUGCUAAUACCGCAUACGCCCUGAGGGGGAAAGCGGGGGAUCGAAAGACCUCGCGCGAUUAGAGCGGCCGAUGCCUGAUUAGCUUGUUGGUGGGGUAAAAGCCCACCAAGGCGACGAUCAGUAGCUGGUCUGAGAGGACGAUCAGCCCCACUGGGACUGAGAAACGGCCCAGACUCCUACGGGAGGCAGCAGUGGGGAAUUUUGGACAAUGGGGGCAACCCUGAUCCAGCAAUGCCGCGUGAGUGAAGAAGGCCUUCGGGUUGUAAAGCUCUUUUGUCAGGGAAGAAACACCGGCUCUAACACAGUCCGGGAAUGACGGUACCUGAAGAAUAAGCACCGGCUAACUACGUGCCAGCCGCCGCCGUAA
rnacentral:rRNA from 1 species